rnacentral:rRNA from 1 species
CGGAGGGUGCGAGCGUUGUCCGGAUUUAUUGGGUUUAAAGGGUGCGUAGGCGGCCAAAUAAGUCUGGGGUGAAAGCCCGCUGCUCAACAGCGGAACUGCCCUGGAUACUGUAUGGCUUGAGGACAGACGAGGUUGGCGGAAUAGAAGAUGUAGCGGUGAAAUGCAUAGAUAUCUUCUAGAACCCCGAUUGCGAAGGCAGCUGACUAGACUGUAUCUGACGCUGAGGCACGAAAGCGUGGGAGCGAACAGGAUU